GAUGAACGCUGGCGGCGUGCCUAAUACAUGCAAGUCGAGCGAACAGACGAGGAGCUUGCUCCUCUGACGUUAGCGGCGGACGGGUGCGUAACACGUGGAUAACCUACCUAUAAGACUGGGAUAACUUCGGGAAACCGGAGCUAAUACCGGAUAAUAUAUUGAACCGCAUGGUUCAAUAGUGAAAGACGGUUUUGCUGUCACUUAUAGAUGGAUCCGCGCCGCAUUAGCUAGUUGGUAAGGUAACGGCUUACCAAGGCAACGAUGCGUAGCCGACCUGAGAGGGUGAUCGGCCACACUGGAACUGAGACACGGUCCAGACUCCUACGGGAGGCAGCAGUAGGGAAUCUUCCGCAAUGGGCGAAAGCUUGACGGAGCAACGCCGCGUGAGUGAUGAAGGUCUUCGGAUCGUAAAACUCUGUUAUUAGGGAAGAACAAAUGUGUAAGUAACUAUGCACGUCUUGACGGUACCUAAUCAGAAAGCCACGGCUAACUACGUG
rnacentral:rRNA from 1 species